UACGUAGGGUGCAAGCGUUGUCCGGAAUGACUGGGCGUAAAGGGCGCGUAGGCGGCUCGUGAAGUCGGGUGUGAAAGCCCGGGGCUCAACCCCGGAACGGCAUCCGAUACUGGCGGGCUUGAGACCGGGAGAGGAGGGUGGAAUACCCAGUGUAGAGGUGAAAUUCGUAGAUAUUGGGUGGAACACCGGUGGCGAAAGCGGCUCUCUGGCCCGGAUCUGACGCUGAGGCGCGAAAGCGUGGGGAGCAAACAGG
rnacentral:rRNA from 1 species